rnacentral:miRNA from 1 species
UGAGAUAAUUCACGUUGUCUA